UUUGGCACUCCGCAGAUAAGGCAA
ensembl:miRNA mir-791 miscRNA